rnacentral:tRNA from 1 species
GCGUUCGUAGCUCAACUGGAUAGAGUACAGGUCUCCGAAGCCUGUGGCGUGGGGCCGAGCGCA